rnacentral:tRNA from 1 species
GGGGUGUUAGCUCAGCUGGUAGAGCAGCGGACUUUUAAUCCGUUUGUCAUGGGUUCGAUCCCCGUACGCCCUACCA